rnacentral:rRNA from 1 species
CUUGCUACAGUGACUGCGUACCUUUUGUAUAAUGGGUCAGCGACUUAUAUUCUGUAGCAAGGUUAACCGAAUAGGGGAGCCGGAGGGAAACCGAGUCUUAACCGGGCGUUAAGUUGCAGGGUAUAGACCCGAAACCCGGUGAUCUAGCCAUGGGCAGGUUGAAGGUUGGGUAACACUAACUGGAGGACCGAACCGACUAAUGUUGAAAAAUUAGCGGAUGACCUGUGGCU